rnacentral:rRNA from 1 species
GAUGAACGCUGGCGGCGUGCCUAAUACAUGCAAGUCGAGCGAACGGACGAGAAGCUUGCUUUUCUGAUGUUAGCGGCGGACGGGUGAGUAACACGUGUAUAACCUACCUAUAAGACUGGGAUAACUUCGGGAAACCGGAGCUAAUACCGGAUAAUAUUUUGAACCGCAUGGUUCAAAAGUGAAAGACGGUCUUGCUGUCACUUAUAGAUGGAUCCGCGCUGCAUUAGCUAGUUGGUAAGGUAACGGCUUACCAAGGCAACGAUGCAUAGCCGACGUGAGAGGGGGAUCGCCCACCUUGGAAGUGGACCACGCACAAGACUCCUGCGGGAGGCAGCAGUAGCGAACCUUCCGCAAUGGGCGAAAGCCUGACGGAGCAACGCCGCGCGAGUGAUGAAGGUCUUCGGAGCGUAAAACUCUGUUAUUAGGGAAGAACAUAUGUGUAAGUAACUGUGCAGAUCUUGACGGUACCUAAUCAGAAAGCCACGGCUAACUACGUG